CCUCAUCCACGUAAAAUGUGGCAAGUACGAGACGGGAGCAGAAAGGGCCCAGCUCCUCACCCGGAGCACCCCCAGGAGAAGCUGUCCUCCACGCUGGCUCAGGAAAUCAGCCGGAGAACUGUCCAUUUGCAAGGCUGCAGCAGUGGCGGAGAGUGUUCAAAUCAUUUCCCCCCCAAAUCUGGACUCCAGGACACUCCCCCUGCCCACAGAUGAAUGCCCCCCAGCCUGUCCAGAGUCACCUAGACUGCGGGCAAAUGGUUUUGCAGAGCAAGGCCAAUGAAGAGUUAAGAAGCAUAGAGACCAGUGGGCUGAAUGGUGGCCCCCAGAAGAUCAGGCUCUGAUCCCUGGAAUCUGUAGACGUUACCUUAUUUGGAAAAAAAAAAAGAUAGCCUUUGAAGAUGUGACUAAGUUAAGAACCUUGAGAUGGGGAAAUUACCCUACGUUAUCCACUUGGGCCAUCAAUGCCGUCAACAUUGUCCUUGUAAGAGAGGGGCGGAGGGAGCUCACACACACAGAAGAGGAGAAGGUGAUGUGGAGACAGGAGCAGAGAUUGGAAGGAUGUGGCCAGAAGCGAAAGAAUGCUGGCAGCCACUAGAAGCUGGAAGAGGCAAGGGAUGGACUUUCUUCUACAGCCUCCAGAGGGAGAACCACUCUGACGACAUCUUGAUUUCUGCCCAGUGAGACUAAGGCUGAGUUUCUGCCUCCAGAACCAUAAGUGCAUAUAAAUUUCUGUUGCCUGAAACCACUAAGGUUGUGGCUAUUUGUUAUAUCUGCCACAGAAAACUCACACAGGGACAAAAACGUUCCGGCCUCUAUUGUUGGAACAGUCUGGCAAAGCCUAUGGCUCCUUUCUCAGCAAAAUGGUUUCAGAUCAUAAAAUAAAAUAUGUAAGACCAUGCAGAAAGGCAAAUAUAUUGAAAUAUGGUUGUUAGAACAUAGGAAAACAACUCCAUACAGCCUUGAGUGCGCUAAUCAAGAUGACACAUUUCAGAUAGACAAGUUAGAGCUGAUUUUAUUUUAUUUAUUUUUAAAGAUUUUAUUUAUUUACUUGACAGAGAGAGACACAGUGAGAGAAGGAACACAAGCAGGGGGAGAGGGAGAAGCAGGCUUCCCAUGGAGCAGGGAGCCCGACAUGGGACUCCAUCCCAGGAGUCCAUGACCUGAGCCGAAGGCAGAUGCUUAACCGACUGAGCCACCCAGGCGCCCGAGCUGAUUUUGUUUUUGAGAACCAGUGAAGGCCACUGUUGUCGGGCUGGCUGGAGUCACACAUUGUGUUGUGGAGUGGCCUGCUGUAAAGGAGGUUGAGAACACACAUGAUCUCCGGCUAUUGUUUUGAAGUAGGGUUCAAAGGCAAGUGUGCCAAGAUAUGAAAAGUAACUGCAAUGGCAUCAUGUAAAUAGCCUGUGUUCACUGAGACCCAGCCUCAGGAAUUGCUAAUGCUCUGUGGUUUGCUGCCUAUAUUCCCCGGUUGAAAUACUGAAUGUCAGAUGGUGCACGUCAGGUACAGGACCCCUGGCUCACAGAAAGACGAAGCAGGAGCCCUAGCUUGAGUGGCCACUGCAUGGAGCCAGGGCUGGAGGGGGGCCGAGGAGGACCAGGCAGGCCCUUGGCUUGUGUGGGAGCUGGGCCCCCCAGCCAGGCCCUGUGAGAGGCGGCAGCUCACAGGAGCUGCCCGGGGAUAAAGCAGGCACAGCAAAUUGGACAGGGUGUCAGGUUGACUAUGAAAUAUGACGGAUCAACAGCCGAGGCUGGUGGUAUGACCUGCUUUCAGACACUUCAUUUAGAAGUUAUCAUAUUGCUGGAUGCUUCCUAUAAUUUGUGAUGAUGCUGAUUGUGAUAAAUUGUGAGUUUCUGGCAAACUCCCCCAGCCCACUCCAAUGGCUGAACAGAGAAAAUGUGUAAUUCUAUGGGAACAUUCAUGCCACGAAUGAGAGCUGGGAUCUGCCUGUAAACAGAAUGCUCAGUCCGUGAACAAAGUAAUUAAAUCAAGCUAAUUAAAUCACAAUAAAAAUAAUUUUAAUUUAAUUAAUUUCUCUGCACUGAUUGAACAUUAUGUUGCAACUAUGAGGCUUCCUGAACAC